rnacentral:rRNA from 1 species
UAACGAAUAUUGGGCAAUGGCGAAAGCCUGACCCAGCAAUGCCGCGUGCAGGACGAAGUUCUUCGGGAUGUAAACUCCUGUCAGGGGUUACCAAGUUCUGAGGAACCCCAGAGGAAGAGGCGGCUAACUCUGUGGCAGCAGCCGCCGUAAGACAGAGGCCUCAAGCGUUAGGCGGAAUCACUGGGCUUAAAGCGUGUGUAGGCGGGUCGUUAAGUUCCUUGUGAAAUCCCACCGCUCAACGGUGGAACGGCUGGGUAUACUGGCGACCUUGGGCCACUCAGGGGCAACUGGAACAAGCGGUGGAGCGGUGAAAUGCGUAGAUAUCGCUUGGAACGCCGAAGGUGAAGACAGGUUGCUGGGGGUGUGCCGACGCUGAGACACGAAAGCCAGGGGAGCAAACG